CCUUGAGGGCCGCAGUGCCCAGGUCCCGACAUGGGCUUACUGAGACCAAUUCCCUCAGAGCUGUUGGCCCUAACCUGCUUUUUUGUUUUUUUAGUUCUCGGCGGACACAACAUCUUUGUUGCUAUGUGAUGCUGAGGAUCGAACCCAGAGCCACACACAUGCCAGGCGAGCACGCUACCGCCUGAGCCACAUGCCCAGCCCCCCUCACCUGCUUCUUAAGGGCUGUGACCAGCCCCUCCCUCUAGUCCCUUAAAGAACAUUUGAAGAGUGAUACAGAGAAAGGAACACAGCAGCCAGCGUGCCAGCGUGCCACUUCCGGGAGCAUCUGUGCCCCUCCUCCCCCUGCUAUCUCCGAUCUCUCCCAUCCACACAGGACGAUGACAGCCGAGCAGGAACUGCCAAAUCAGACGCAGCCUUUCAGAGCGACAUCCUAUUUUGAAGUCUGUUUACUCUACAAAAAUUAAUCUCCUCGAUGCCUGGAGGAGGAAGAUGCAUAUCAAACAAAGCCAGCUCUGGAUCCCACCGCUCUCCAGGUACAAGCUCAGGGAAACAAACUGCUCCUCCCCAGGCGUGGACACAGGAUGUGUUGGGUUUCAUUAGUUAAUCACACACCCCCCCACCCCCAGAGGCCAGAGCAGAGCCUUGCUGACGUCUUGGAGGUUGUGGGAGGGAGCAGAGGACAAGGUGGAGAUGGCAGUGGCCAGGGAGCUGGGAGCCACGUGGUCUCGAUGGUUGCGCGAGACCUUGUGUGCCGUGGGGCUGGUUGCUGUGGCUCCUGUGGUCAUCACUUCACUGGACGCAGCAGGCAGACAGGGAGAGAUGGGCCAUCAGAGCUCUCUCCCACUCUGCUCCCACCAGCUCUGUGACCUGAGUGGCCACCUCUGCUUUUCCUCUUCAAUGAACUGACUGGUCACUUAUAUGCUGGCUUGUGUCCUCUGCCACCAGAUUCCUUUGCUGAAGUCCUAAUCAGAACGUAACUGUUUGGAGGCAGGACCUUGGGGUACGUGAUCAGGUUCAAACAAGGCUGCCGGGGUGGACCCUAAUCCACUUUGAGGGUGUCCUUACAGGAGAAAUCUAGGCCCUCAGAGAGCCACUGGGAACGCUCCAGAGGAAAGGCCACUGAGGACAGACAGGGAGGCGGCUCUGCUGGCCGAGGGAGCGGCCCCUGAGAAAUCAGCCCCGUGGACACCUCCAUCCUGCCCCCCGGCCCCCUGAGCCACGGGAAAGGUCGUCUCUGCGCUCAAGCAGCACAAUGUGGGUACUCUGCUAGCACAGCGCCAGCGGACUCUUAGAGAUGCCGCCAGUCCCUUCUCUUCCACAGCCCAAGGUCAUUUCAAGGGCCCGAGAAAAGCCUGCAGGCAAAAGUGUCUGGGAAUCAGAAGGAAAGGUGCAGUUCUCUCCAUUCCUUUUUAUUCCAUUAAGGAGAAGAUCUCGUUUGGCCAAGGUAUGUCUUCAAUGUCUUUCUGAUACUGGAAAUCUCCCUUCAAAGAAGAAAUUGAGAUAAAAUUCUCUCAACAUAAAAUCCUCCACGAACUGUUUUCAGGUGACUCUUCUGUAGCCGUAACCACAGCAUUGUACGGCUGUCACCGCUCGCUGGGGCUGACACACCCCGUCCUCCAGGGCCUGGUGGUCCCAAGCUCAUCUUCAUCUCUGGAUUUUCCUACUCUGGACGUUUCAUAGAGUACAUGUCACAGGAAUUGUAUGUGUGACCUGGGUGCCAGGUCUCUGUCACCACAUGCCUUGGGUUCAUCCAUGCCACAGCAUGAUUCGUGCCUCUCACCUUUUCAUGGCUGAAUUAUAUUCCAUGGAAACCACGUUCUGUUCAUCUGUCUAUCCCCUGAUGGACAUUUGGGUUGUUACUAUCUUUUGGCAAUUAAGGAUUGUGCCCCCAUGAAUGUCAGUGUGCAAGAAUGUGUCUGAACGUCUAUUUCAAUUCUCUGGGCUACAUACUUAGAAGUGGAAUUUCUGGGUCAUAGGGUGAUCCUAUGCUCACAUUUUUGGAGAAUGGAUCUCUCCUGUUCUAAUCAAGCGAGAGCUCGUCAGGAUUCAGACCUUCAUGGGAGAGAGCGCUCAGAAGAAGUUUGCAGAACUCUUGAUUUCUAACAGCCUCACGAAGGCCAUGCUGGAUUUUCAUCUGUAGGAGCAGCACGAUAUGUUUUUCUUAAAUAAGUGUUACUGUAGCCAGACGUGGUGGUGCGUGCUGGUGAUCCCAGCAACUCAGGAGGCGGAGGCAUCGCAAGUUUGAGAACAGCCCCAGCCAUUGAGUGAGAUCCUGUCUAAAACAAAACAAUUUAAAAAAAAAGCCUUUUGAUGUGGCUCAAGGGUUCAAUCCCCAGUAUCAAAAAGGAAGAGAGGGGGAAAAAAAGACAAAAGAAUUCAUGUUACUCAGGAAACGGGCAGAUGCAAACUUACUUAGAUGCAAACCUACUUACAGGCGACACUGUCCAGAGGGCUGGCCUCCGCGGGCAGGCGUCUCUGUCUGGUUUACUCUGAGCCUCCAGGCCCUCCUCUGGGGCCUGCAUGACGUCGGGUCCUGGGUACACGAUCCCUGAAUCAACGACUGUACGUGAUACACCUCUGAACAGUGUCACACAGACGUCAUUGUCCGAGCGGGAUGUGGCUCUGACGGAAAUCACAAAGGUGGAGAGCAAAUGCCUAAGAGCUGGCACGGUGGCCCCAGGCACACAUGAGGGUGACACCCAGCCCUGCCACUUGCUCACCCUGACUGUGGCCUAUUUCUCAUCUUCUCUGAACCUCGGUUUUCUCCUCCGAAGCUCGGGGUUAUGGGGGGAUGCAAGGUGCUGGUGUGUGCGGCACACUCAGCAGAGGUCGGCCAGGAUCAUCUGGACCCCCUCAGCUGCAGCAGGGGGCUCAGAAGUGGGGAGACACGGGAGGGCUCAGCCUGCAGGUGGUGGGGGAGGCUGGGAGCCCCGCUGCCAGCACAUGGUCAGGGCUGCCGGCACUUUCUGGGCAGGGCCGGCCCUAGGCCCACAUGGGCAUGGUUGUGCGUGAGAAGCCGCAUCCGAUCCUGCAUUCGUUCAGGGCUGGCGGCCUGCGAGUGUGCUUUCCCCGUAUCCUGGUCGGCAGGGCUGGCCCAGAGCUAGAACCCCCUACGUUACAGGGCGCAGACCUGUGCUGAGGAGGGCAGAGGGGUUCACGCAGCAGGUCAGCCUCAGGGUGGGGAUGAGAGGGUUGGGGUGGCUUGUCCUGUGGCGCUGGGACCUGCCCGCCAGCCUCCUGCCCCAGGCUGGGCCCGGGAAUUCGCAUUUGAGUUCCCACCUUGCACUUGUUCUGCGGAGCUUUCCAGAUUCCGGGGCCUCUGCAGGGUAGACAGGGCCCCCCGGAUCUCCAGGAGACUUCACCCUUCACCCCAAGUUGGAAGAGCGGGCGUGGGGCAAGGGCGCACCACCAAGCUGCUGGGAGGGGACGGGGCAGGGGAGUCCCUUUCAUGGGCCACUUUCUCCUUCUGCCGGGGACACUGGGUGAAGCUCAGUCCUCUGGGUGUCACGGUGCUGGGAGCAGGGCCCCGGCAACCACGCAGACGCCUGCCAGUUGGGGCCGAGUUAAGUGGGUACAGGUAACAGGGCUCAGCUGGGGACCUGGGACAUGUGCCCAUGGGGAGCAGAGAAGCCACCAGGUCCAGGCCCAGCACCGUCUAUCUUGAUGUGACCUGUGGAGGCAGCGAGAUGAGUGGGUGUCCCUCCCGGGCCCUGGGGGCUUAUCAUGGUUAUUGGCUCAGAGGGCCUUGGAGAGCCGCCGUCUGCAGAGUGACAUGGAAUUUAUUACUCCUUCCGCCGCUCCACAGCCUUCCCCCAGCGCUUUUCUUUGGAAAAAUGGUUCCUGCCAAUCUUGCUGUUUACUUAAGCGGUUAUUUAUUUAUUUCUCCCGCUGCCGGUCUGAGCACUUCUUGGUAACUUCACCGCCUCUUCACCCGCGUAGAGGACCCCAUAAGGAGAGCCCGAGCCCUGAGGAGCAGGCAGGAAGACAACCCGCGGUGGACAAGCUGCCCAGUGCCGCGCCCCGUGCUGGGCCCUGGUUGGCCCUGUUACAACGCACGUCUGAUUCUUAUGCAGGUCAAAGAGGAGAAGAAAUGAGGGGUCUGAACCAGCCGCCUGCGUGCCUCCGACGUGUGUCCCCCCGAGGCCAGGGCCAGUCCCCGUAAGCUCUGCGGUUCCUCCGGGGAAGGGAGUGAGUGGAGGGUCCACACUGGUAUUUUCAUUUUCUGACAUUUGUCUGAGCCCUGUAAGCUCCUGAGCCUCUGGAAUGGCCGAAAGGCUCAGGAAGAACUGGGCACCAGCCGGCCCAGAGGCCUCUGCAGUGAGACAGCACCGGAGCCCCUCCGGGAGAGGCAGCCUUGGCUGAGCUCCCUGAGCUCCAGGUGGAAGGUGGAUGGCUGUCAGCUGCGUCCCCAGCCCUCCCCGUCCAGUCCUGACUUGGAUUCACAUCUCCUCUGGCAGCAGCGGCUGCUCUUGCUGCAAGGUGGGGAAGAGAGAUCAGCUUCCCCACAGCGUGAAGUAGCAGGAAGUGUGCUGUCAGCUUCUGCGGCUGGCGAGGUCUUGGGAGGGAGCGGCCUUGCUGUGUGUUUUGGCCAGGUAGUUUUGCCUCUUUGGGCUCAUCAGUAAACAGAGACGGAGGGCUAGAGCGCUGGCAGGGAGGGCAGCCCACUCCUGGGGGAGGAGGGGCACCCCAGAAGGACACUCGUCUCUAGCUUGGAUGCUUACUCUGAGAUCCGAGUCUGGGUCAGGCAGGGCCCACACCCAGCCCUGCAACCCUGGGAGCAUUUAAAAAGACCAGAGUGGCCAGCUGGGGUCCCCUUGAGCUUGGGUGUCCUUGGUCCUUCCUUGAGGAGGGCUGAAGCCCAGCUUCACAAAUGGGGCUGGAAGCUGGCACCGGCCUGAGUUGUCUGUGAGUUAGCGUUUGCUUUAAAUAGAAUCACACUGUCCCCUAUUUAAUAAAAUGCAAAUAAAAGUGCCAAUACUGUCUUUCUUAUGAAUGACCUGGCACUGCUAUUCCAUUCUUACAAUAACUCAAAGAGGUGGGAGUGACAUUAUCAUUCUUCUAUAGACUGACAACACUGAGGCAGAGAGGUUAAGUAACUUACCCAGAGUCACGCAGCUGAGACUUGGCAGAACAGAACUUGAGCCCAGGCCUAUCAGAGCUCGAGUUCAGGAGAUAACCUCUAGGCUACACUGCCUUCUUCUUACCGUAAUUGUAGAAGUCCUGGAGGGACGUUUACUGAACAGCUGUGCCUCGGAGUCCUUUGCUGGAGGCUGAGCUGGUAAGCCUAGUUGGUUGUGGCUGGUUGAGUCCCAAAGAGGCCACUUUGAACUUUAUGCCUUGAAAAACUAGAAGCUACCCCUGUGGCCCCGGCCAUUCUCUCCAGUAUCCUGCCUGGCCUGACCCUGUCAGCACAGCCCAUUGCCUGAGGUUGGGCAGGGGUUGGGGGACUGUCCAGAGACUCAGCAGGGUAGGGAGUAGCACCCCGGCUUCUAGGCCUUUCGUUAGUUCAGCGGAAGCUCUGGCCACAGGCACGGAGCUCGGGCAGCUGUGUAUCUUGGUAUUUUUCUUCCUUUCUUAGGAAAAAAUGGUGAGAAGAGUUGAGAGCCCUCUGACACACGAUUUCAGGGCACAGUAAGAGGACUUCAGGAGAAUCGGUUCUGUUACCACAGAAGUAAGAGCAGGAACUGCCCCUGCCCUGCCUGACUCCCACCGCCACUGCCCACGUCCAUCAUGCCUGGAUAGUGCCGGGCAGGCGGGAGACGGCAGCCCUGGGACCUGGCACCGUGGCACAGAGGAAGGUCUGCAGCUGGGUCAGGAAACUGAGGGUCCUUGGGGGACAGACAAGGACAGGCUGGGCUCCCAGCCACCCCAACAGGCUCGUUUACGAACCCACAAGACAGAACCCUGGUUUUUCUAAGCUGACGAGGCUGGCUUCAAACUUGCAGUCCUCCCUUGUCAGCCUCCUGCGUCUCUGGGAUUGCAGGUGCGGGCCACAGCACCUGGCUUGGACCUGUCUUCUUGACCGUCUAAGGGUCUCUGCUGUUCCAGGGAGCAUCCCAAGCAGAGUUAAUCUGUCUGUCCCUCCAUCGUCCAUCUCCCUCCUCCCUCCCUCCAUGCCCAUCAGUCCACCUUCCUUGUCCCCAUCCUCCCAGGGACAUGCUGACUGACAACUCUGAGAAGCCCAAGUGGGUACAGUGAACGUCCCUCUGGCUCUGACCCUCUCUGCCUUCUCCUCGGCGCAGGACGCGGGCUCAGGAUGGUACCCUCAACAAGGCUCUGCCACCACCUCAAGCUGAGUGACUUUGGCCAGGGUUCUGGACCCCCCUGAAUUGCAUUCCCUUCAUCAAAAAGGAAGAACGCGAGCUGGGAGUGGCGAUGCAGCCUGUGAUCCGGUGAUCUGGGAGGCUGAGGCAGGAGGGUCGCAAGUUCGAGGCUCACCCUGUGGUCUGCGUGUCAACGUCAAACCGUCUUCACGUGCUGGUUCUUCUGUGUGGAAGACUCACUGGUUGAGAAAACUCACAAGGACAAGAAGCUACUUUGAAUUCAGUCGUGGUUUAAAAUCAAGUUAUAAUUGGUCAUUCGAAGCCGCACGCGUAUGCAUUUGAGAAAUAACCCCGGCCUGGGCUUUGUCCUGAAGGGGAACAGCUUCGACUCUACCAGAGGCCCCGCGAGCGCACUGCCCCCGCUGUCCGUCCAGAGCAGCCCAGGGACCUCUCCCGCACAGCUCCCGCAACUCUAACAGAUUGUAGUCAUUUGUCCCUCUGUAUGUGAAUGUCACUCUCCCCGACUAGAGAUGAGUGCCACCAGGGAAGCAUGCACACCUGGAGCUCUCCAGGAUCAGAGGUUAAAACUGGGCGUGUGGGUGGG